UACGUAGGAUGCAAGCGUUGUCCGGAAUUAUUGGGCGUAAAGAGUUCGUAGGCGGUUGCCUAAGUCUGGUGUUAAAUACAGGAGCUCAACUCCUGCAUGGCACUGGAAACUGGGCAGCUAGAGUGUGGUAGAGGUCACGGGAAUUCCAGGUGUAGCGGUGAAAUGCGUAGAUAUCUGGAGGAACACCAGUGGCGAAAGCGCGUGACUGGGCCACAACUGACGCUGAUGCACGAAAGCUAGGGGAGCAAACAGG
rnacentral:rRNA from 1 species